UAACAAGUCCUGUGCUUUAUAAUAUAUUAAAAAAUGGAAGGACGUGAAGAAAACAGGUUUGUAAAUGAUGUUGUACAUCAUGCAGAUAGCUCAGAAGAAGAAGCAGGAAUGUUUGACUGGAAAUAUAAACGAUGUUGUACAUAAUGCAGAUAGCUUAGGCAAAAAAGAGAUUGGUGAAAUGGAGAAUGAGACUAACUAGGGU
rnacentral:lncRNA from 1 species